rnacentral:rRNA from 1 species
UACGUAGGGUGCGAGCGUUAAUCGGAAUUACUGGGCGUAAAGUGUGCGCAGGCGGCAGAGCAAGUCGAGUGUGAAAGCCCCGGGCUUAACUUGGGAAUUGCGCUCGAAACUACUUUGCUGGAGUGUGGCAGAGGAAGGUGGAAUUCCACGUGUAGCGGUGAAAGUGACGUAGAGAUGUGGAGGAACACCAAUGGCGAAGGCAGCCUUCUCGGGCCAACAGU